GGCUGGAUUAAGGAAGACACACGUAUCCCAACUGGUUCUUCAGAAUCCCUGCUGCUCUGAACUCCUGCAUCCACGAGAUGUAAUCUACUUCUACCCAGCAACACUCACACCCCUUCCCCCGGGAAAGUCUUCUAUACACCUGCUUUUCCCCUGUAAGCCCAAGACCAGACCCUUCUCUCUGUGGGUAGUCAUCUGACUCAAGCCCAGCCAAUCAAAACCUGCUCCUAUAUUUCCUAUCUUGGUGAACAGUGAAUGGCAGCAGCUUCCAAUCGCCCAACUGAAGGGGUUUUUAACUCUCUGAUGGGAAAACAACCUUGGUUGUUCCAUAGAAACAAAGAAUCCGUCUGCCAAUGGGGUUCAAUGUCUGAUCUAAGAUGAUCCCAGACACCGUGGAGCAACUGAGCCUGGGAACCACAACUACCGAAGCCCACGGGCCCUAGAGCCUGAGCUCCGCAAUGAGAGAAGCCACUACAAAGAGAAGCAGCCCACGCCCUGCAACCAGAGAAAAGCCCUUGCAGCCAAAAAUAAACAAAUAAAAUUAUUUUUUUAAAAAGAAACACCAGGGUAAGCCCUUCUGGUCUCUGCAUGCGAAUCACCUGUCUGGAGGGCACGUGGGAAACCACAGUGCUCAUUCCUGCCUGACUUGACCAGUGAGGAGAGAGAGAGGACCUCAGAUUUUGAUAAAGCGCAGGGACAAGAGGUGAAUAGAGGGUGGAGCGGGUCCUGGGAGGAGCCAUUUCCAUUCCUGGAACUUUUCUCCUGCCGAGAACCAAGGCCAGAGUCCACGGGGCCCGAGGCAGCUGGAGUUAACACUGGGCAAGGGACAGAGA